rnacentral:lncRNA from 1 species
CAGAGAGGUAUAAUGCAUAUGUAGAUUUAUUUUUCUUACUCAUGGAGGUGCAGGUGGUGAAAUGAGGCAGCAAGGCUGAAAUAGCGGAAGGGCUCCAUUCUUAUGUACAGUGUGCAUGAAGCGUGGUGCUGUGAGGGAGCACACGGACUUGCUCUGGGCAUGUAACACAGCUGCAAGAAUUAGCAGCUUAUGCAGUAUGUGUAGUGCAACCCCUUGGGCUCUGAAUUGCCUGCUUCAGGCAGGUGUUGUGAGUAUCUGCUCAGUGUACAGGAACCCUGCAAUGCAAGGUUCAGUCAUAGCAGAGUUACAUGCCUAAAACAGACAGUGUAGAUGUAUUCCCUCGCAUCACAUGGGGAUGCAUGUGUAGCUUAUUAAAUAAGGAUGCUAACCUGUCUGGUAGUGAAUUUAGAGGAGCUGAAGAUGGUCCCUUUUAUUUUUCCAGAUCUGCAGCCUUCCAAGAUGAGCUGAUCUUGGAUUCUGAACUUGAAGCAAUUCUUCAAGACUAUAUGCUUCCUGAAACUCAAAAACUAUCUGCAAUAAAUAGGUAUGUGUAAUGGAUACAUUCAUGCUUUGUAUUGUAUGGUUUGGAGCAUGUGAGUUUUGUUGACAGUUUAAUGCUGAGCUUCUUACAGCUCUUGAUAAAUCUUAGUUGCUGUGAAUGGGACAGUGUGAUGGACCUUUGCAAGGUGAAUUUUCAAUAACACGUGGUUCUUGUAGGACAGAAAUUGGGAAGGGUAUGAUGUUCACAGUUGCUCAGAGAUAAAUGUUUAGCCAAACCCACAAACUUAACUUCAGAGUGAACAAAAAGGUGAGUCUCCACAAACAAGUAAGAAGUUUUGAAGAUAAAAUCAGUGAGAG